GUACCUUACGUUUCCUCGGCGGGUCCGCCCGCCGAUUGGACAAUUUAAACCAUUUGCAGUUGCAAUCAGCGUCUGAAAAAACUUAAUAGUUACAACUUUCAACAACGGAUCUCUUGGUUCUGGCAUCGAUGAAGAACGCAGCGAAAUGCGAUAAGUAGUGUGAAUUGCAGAAUUCAGUGAAUCAUCGAAUCUUUGAACGCACAUUGCGCCCCUUGGUAUUCCAUGGGGCAUGCCUGUUCGAGCGUCAUUUGUACCUUCAAGCUCUGCUUGGUGUUGGGUGUUUGUCUCGCCUCUGCGUGUAGACUCGCCUCAAAACAAUUGGCAGCCGGCGUAUUGAUUUCGGAGCGCAGUACAUCUCGCGCUUUGCACUCAUAACGACGACGUCCAAAAGUACAUUUUUACACUCUUGACCUCGGAUCAGGUAGGGAUACCCGCUGAACUUAAGCAUAUCAAUAAGCG
rnacentral:rRNA from 1 species